GACGAACUGUCCUAACGUUGUUCGGAAUCACUGGGCUUAAAGGGCGCGUAGGCGGUCCGACAAGUCAGGGGUGAAAUCUUGCAGCUUAACUGUAAAAGUGCCUUUGAUACUGUCGGUCUUGAGGGAAAUAGGGGUGUGCGGAACUUCCAGUGGAGCGGUGAAAUGCGUUGAUAUUGGAAGGAACGCCGGAGGCGAAAGCGGCGCACUGGAUUUCUUCUGACGCUGAGGCGCGAAAGCUAGGGGAGCAAACGGG
rnacentral:rRNA from 1 species